rnacentral:rRNA from 1 species
AAACCAACAGGGAUUGCCUCAGUAACGGCGAGUGAAGCGGCAACAGCUCAAAUUUGAAAUCUGGCCUCUCGGGGUCCGAGUUGUAAUUUGUAGAGGAUGUUUCGGGUACCGCCCCGGUCUAAAUUUCUUGGAACAGAAUGUCAGAGAGGGUGAGAAUCCCGUCCUGGACCGGCGGUAGGGCCUGUGUGAAACUCCUUCGACGAGUCGAGUUGUUUGGGAAUGCAGCUCAAAAUGGGUGGUAAAUUUCAUCUAAAGCUAAAUAUUGGCCAGAGACCGAUAGCGCACAAGUAGAGUGAUCGAAAGAUGAAAAGCACUUUGAAAAGAGAGUUAAACAGUAUGUGAAAUUGUUGAAAGGGAAGCGCUGGCGACCAGACUUGCGCGCGGCGGUUCCCCCUGCCUUUUGGCUGGGUUACUCCGCCGCGUCCAGGCCAACAUCGGUUCUGGGGGUCGGUCAAAGGCCCCGGGAAUGUAUCUACCCUUCGGGCGUAGACUUAUAGCCCGGGGCGUCAUGCGACCUCCCGGGACCGAGGAACGCGCUUCGGCACCUCCCGGGACCGAGGAACGCGCUUCGGCUCGGAUGUUGGCGUAAUGGUCGUCAGCGACCCGUCUUGAAACACGGACCAUAUGCAUAUCUAUAAGCAGCAGGAAAAAC